rnacentral:lncRNA from 1 species
CUCGUGAUCCUUGGAUGAAGGACUUGGCUGAUUAUUCCAAUGUUUAUAUUAUGGGUACCAGCGCCGGUGGUAAUAUUGCUUACCAUGCAAAUUUACUUGCUCUGGACGCGGAUAUGAGUCCGGUCCAGAUCAAAGGGUUGAUACUGAAUCAGCCCUUUUUUGGAGGGGUUCAACGAACACAGUCUGAAGAAAGGUUAAGCACUAAUCCAAAUUUACCGUUAAAUGUCAGUGAUCUGAUGUGGCAGCUGGCAUUACCGCUGGGAUCUGAUCGCGACCACGAGUAUUCCAAUCCCUUAAUCAGUUGUAAUCCAAAGAUCAAACAGUUAACAAGGUGUUUGAUGAGAGGGUUUGAAGGGGAUCCACUUGUGGAUAGAAUAAAGGGAUUAGUGAAGAUGCUAGAGGCCAGUGGUGUGCAGGUGGUGGCCAAGAUUGAAGACGGAGGGUGUCAUGGUGCAGAGUUAAAUGAUCAAAGUAAGGUUCAAGAAUUGUGUUUACAGAUCAAGGAUUUCAUUUACUCUUCUUGAUCAAUACAAGCUGAUAAUAUCAUGUUAUUAGGCCUGUUUGGCUAUGAAAAUUAAACCCUUAUUAAAGGUUACAGAAAAAAGGUAGAGUUUUAUGUAUUUUUCUUAGAAAUAAGUUUAGCCAAACUACGACAUUGUUAAAUAUGUUUACCAUAAGUUACUACUGGUUGUCAACUUAAGUUCUUUGAAAAGAUUGAAUUCUGUUUAGACUCUACAGCUCUCAUUUAUUUUCAGUGUUUUAUCUUCUUAGACCUCAAUGAAAUCCAGAAAUAAAUUUGCAUGAUGCAUGCCUUCUCUUGUUCCUUUACAGAGAAGCAGAGUUAGAUCUUUAAAAAGACAUUUUGGUCAGAAAAUGAUGAGACAUUUUAACACAAUGUGACGAGAUACAGGACUUCUGUUCACUUGCAAGACAUGUUCCAGUUUGAUUUCCUUGAAUAUACUACAGUCUACAGUUGAGCAGAAAUCCGGUUUUACCAUUAUCAGUAAUUAAUCUGUUGUGGAUAUUGGCACUGCCCCCUGGAUGUGAUCAUGAUCACGAGUAUUCUAAUCCGUUGGAUGGUGGUGGUGAUCUGAAGAUUGAAAGACUGCCGAGGUGUUUGAUAAGAGGGUUUGAAUUGGAUCCAUUGGUGGAUAGAAUAAAGAAACUUGCGAAGAUGUUGGACGCCCAAGGGUGAAGGUGGUGGCCAGGAUUGAAGAGGGCGGGUGUCACGGGGCGGAGAUUAUUGAUCUGGGAAAGCUGCAGGAAUUGUUUCUGCAGAUUAAGGAUUUCAUCUACUCUUCUUAAUUAUUCAGUAGAAUUACAAAUGUAAUGUUGAAUUACUAUCAGUUUAUUUCGUAUUCCUUUAUAAACCAGCAGAGUUUGAUCAGUAAAAGACUAAUUAGACAUUUAACAUAAUGAUUAAGGUUUAUGCAUACAUGAAUGCUGCUCUAAUGAAAGAAGAGAUAUGUUCAAUAAAUGUAUGUGUGAAUGAAAGAAAAAAGAAAACUAUAUGAUUGUGGACAGAAAAGGGGAAGAAGAAGAAGAUGAAAGAAGACUUAUGUUCAAUAAACUGCUGCCUUUUGCUUCCUUCCAAAGUUGGAAUUCUCCAACUGCAAUUCUCUACGCAAACCAAAAAUUUGAGAGGGACGGAAAGUGUAUUACCAUGUCCUACUAGCCAAACAGAACUGGAGCCUUACAGUUACAGAUUCUCAAAUUCGAUUCUUCGUGAUGCUAUGUUUUAGCUGGGAGCAAGUCCAAUAAUAGGUGACUUAUAAAUAUAAUAAAAUACAGGGCGUUUAGCUAGAUUUAAAAGUCUGAUUUCUGACUUUAUAAGUGAGAACUUAUUCGUUUGUGUAAAACGUCAUGCUCGUAAAAAGUUGAGAAUACUAGUUUUUUUUUUUGUUUUAUGACUUCUCCUUCUUUGUCAAACAUUUUAAUCACUUAUAAUUCUUAACUUGGUUCAAACCUCUACUCCAUGGCAUAUAUUUUGGUCCGAUUCUGGAAAUCUUUUUCUGAAAGAUAAUAUAAAAAAAUCUAAGCAUCCAGUCAUCAGCAGCUGGCGCAUGUGUUCAAAACAAGGCUAAUUGAAUGUCUUGUACGUUGUAAUUGAAAACAUCUAGUUGCAAAUCUUUGCAUUGCUUUUUGUUGUCAAAUAAUUGUCAAACAAGAACGCAUUGAAGUUACAACUUACUUGUCAAUAUUUCUCUAUAUAUUUAGUGUAUUUUUAAUGCCAUGAAUUUUAUUGAGUUAUAUCUAGUUAUGAACUUUGAUAAAAUAUUGUAGAAUUAAUAUAGAUUACUUAGAAUUUAAGCAUAAUAUUUCAAAUAUCAUGAAUUUUGAUGAAAUUUAAAAAAUCUUAAAAUAUAUUGAACAAUCACACAAAAUCAUUUGAUGAAGUCCAAAAAAAUCCAUCCAAUUUGGCUACCAUCAGAUUUUAAUGAUAUAAACAAUCGCAACUGCAUAUCAUCAAAUUUUUAAAUAUAAUUUAUAAUUCUAAUUAUAUACCACCAGAUUUUAUACAUAAUUCAUUACAAUUGAAUAAGAUUCUCAUACAUUUUUUAAAAUCCGAAUCAAAUAAUCACGGAUUUCAUGCAUAAAAAAUAUCCUUUAAAAUCUCACCCGCAUGAUACUAUACCCAACCACGCAGAUGGGUGCCCUGGCAACCACGUGUUUCUUUUAUAAAUAUACAACUAUCAAUUGAUCCAAGACAAACAAACGACUCCAUUUAUAGAAACACCGCAAACAGAGUCCUCUGCCAUUUUUAGAAACACAAUGGAAACAGAUUCCUCAGCCAUUUCUGCUAUUGAUGAAGCUUACAAGUUCCUACAAGCUGUUCCGAAUCCUGAUGGUUCACUCACCCGAUCUCAAUUUUUCCCCAGCGUUUCUCCCACACCCCAACUCAUAGCUGGCUCACCAUCUGGAAACCAACUAGCUCUCUCCAAAGACGUUCCACUUAACAUGAAAAACCAAACAUUUCUUCGCCUCUUUCGCCCUACUAAUCACACUGAUAGGCUUCCCAUUAUCAUUGAUUUUCACGGGGGUGGUUUCGUGAUUUGUAGCGCUGCAUCAGCUCCCUUUCAUAAAAUCCUGAACCGUGCUUCUGCUUUUGCCCCUGCUUUAGUCAUAAGCGUUGAUUAUCGUCUAGCACCAGAGCAUCAUCUUCCAGCUGCGUAUGAUGAUGCCAUGGAGGCCAUCAUGUGGGUACGUGAUCAAGCCAGAGGAGUCGACACUUGUGAUCCAUGAAGGAGUUGGCUGAUUAUUCCAACGUUUAUAUUAUGGGUACCAGUGCGGGUGGUAAUAUUGCUUACCACGCAAGUUUACGUGCUCUGGACGCGGAUAUCAGUCCGGUCGAGAUCAAAGGGCUGAUACUGAAUCAGCCCUUUUUCGGAGGGGUUCAAAGAACCCAGUCUGAAGACAGGUUAAGCACUAAUCUAGCUUUACCACUGAAUGUCAGUGAUCUGAUGUGGCAGCUGGCAUUACCGCUUGGAUCUGAUCGUGACCACGAGUAUUGUAAUCCGUUAAUCAGUUGUAGCCCGAAGAUCGAACAGUUAACAAGGUGUUUGAUGAGAGGGUUUGAAGGGGAUCCACUGGUGGACAGAAUAAAGGGGCUGGUGAAGAUGUUAGAGGUCAGUGGGGUGCAUGUGGUGGCCAAGAUCCAAGCCGGUGGUUUUCAUGGUGCAGAGUUAAGUGGUGAUCAAAGUAAGGUUCAAGAAUUGUGUUUACAGAUCAAGGAUUUCAUUUACUCUUCUUGAUCAAUACAAGUUUUCUAAUGUCAUGUUGUUGUUAAUAUGUUUGCAGUAAGUGACUACUGGUUGUCAACUUGAGUUCUUUAAAAGAUUGAUUCUGUUUAUACUCUGCGGCUCUCAUUUAUUUUCAGUGCUUUAUCUCCUCAGACCUUAAAGAAAUAAAUUUGCAUGAUGCAUGCCUUCUCUUAUUCCUUAACAGAGAAGCCGAGUUAGAC